AAUCAACGCUGGCGGCGUGCCUAACACAUGCAAGUCGAACGAGAAAGUGGAGCAAUCCAUGAGUAAAGUGGCGACCGGGUGAGUAACACGUGACUAACCUACCUUCGAGUGGGGGAUAACCUCGGGAAACCGGGGCUAAUACCGCAUAACAUCUUUGAAGUGGAAAUUUCGGAGAUCAAAGGAGCAAUUCGCUGGAAGAGGGGGUCGCGGCUGAUUAGCUAGUUGGCGGGGUAACGGCCCACCAAGGCUAGAUCGGUAGCCGGCCUGAGAGGGCGCACGGCCACACUGGAACUGAAACACGGUCCAGACUCCUACGGGAGGCAGCAGUGGGGAAUUUUGCGCAAUGGGGGAAACCCUGACGCAGCAACGCCGCGUGGAGGAUGAAGUCCCUUGGGACGUAAACUCCUUUCGACCGGACGAUAAUGACGGUACGGGUGGAAGAAGCCCCGGCUAACUUCGUGCCAGCCGCCGCAGUAAU
rnacentral:rRNA from 1 species